rnacentral:tRNA from 1 species
GCGCCCGUAGCUCAGUUGGAUAGAGCGAGGCACUCCUAACGCCUAGGCCGCAGGUUCGAUUCCUGCCGGGCGCACCA